rnacentral:misc_RNA from 1 species
AUGUUCCCUUCUCCACCUUCAACAGGUUCUUUUUUUUUUUUUUAAGCAAAAAUUUUUAUUAAUUCUUUAGAAAUCCGGGAAGAAAUUGUCACGGCGAGAGUUCCCGCUAUCAGGACGUAUAACCUGGUAGUAAGGUAUAAGAUGCCGCCCUUCAGAAGGUUCAUUGAUGAGGCGAAGAAAUUCAGCCCGAUUCUCUUGAAUAAGUCUCCAUAGAGGAGGAUUUUCUUUCUCCCACUCUUGAAGCAUAGGCUGCAAUAGAUGUGGAUUAGCCUGGACCAUAUCUCUAAAUGCUUGGAACUCUGGACUGUUCCGUAAAACAUCAAAAGGUCCAGCACCUGCAGCACUUGAACUUGUUUCGGAAACGCCCAUUGGAAAAGGAUCUUUUUUGUUGUCAAUUUUCUCAUCUCGUAAAUUCGGCAGAGGUAUAUCUCCUUCAAGAGUUUGAAGUACCUUUUUCAUUGGUGGACAAAUUCUGAAUAAUUAUAUACACAAGCUCCAGCACAAUAAAUCAUUCGUUUCAUUUCACGUUCAUUAUAGUUAUGCAAAUUGGAAUCAACAAAACCCUCAUUUUCAUCCUUCAAAGCUUGAAGAAUUCGAGUUCUUGCCCAUGCGAUGAUGUCAAUGUCUUCAUGUAUGGGUUUUCUUCCGGUAAUCAGCUCUAAAAGGACAACACCAAAAGAGUAAACAUCUGACUUAUCGGAGACCUUUUUAG